UUGAUAGCAUGACUGUUUGAUCAACACCUCUCCAGAUUAUGUAGUUCCUAUGUCACUGCUCAGGAAUGUUUGGAGACUGGCAGCACAUGAUACAAAUCCUGUAAGAUAUUUCUGUUUUGCAUUCUAGCCAUUAGAGAUGCUUUUUAGUCAUAUUAAAAUCUUUCGUUAGCUGGUGGAAAGAAGUCUCUUUUUAUCAGAGACUCUGCAUUUUAGAGGUUUAGAAGUAGAGUUAAAAUCUUGCACAAUAGAAGUGUUAAAAUACAAUGGUUUUUUAUUCCCAGUUAUCUAAAUAGUCUCCAGUUUUUCUGGUUAAAUUUCCUUCUCUGAGCUGUGGUUUGAAAGUCUUGUACAAUUAUUACAGGGUCCUCUAGUCCACCAUUCUGUUUCCUAUUAUGGUCAACUAGACAUCUAAGGAAGUUUCUGUUUUUAUGGUUGCUGGAAUCCAUUCUAUGGUGCACAUUUUUGUGCCCUUUCCCCCUAAUCUAGGCAUUUUCUGUGUAUUUUUCCUAACUUGCAUUGUUGCACAUACUGUAUGUUUAUGAAUUGCACUGCAAACUUUAAGAAGUGUAGAUUUCAGCAUACGAUGACACAGACUCAGGAAGUGUGAGUAGGGUAUGGUUGCAUGAACCAGCCUCAUUUAUCCCACCAUAUUUAAUCUAGGGGAAAUAUUUUCAAAUCCAGAGUAAAGAAAAUUUGAUUUUCUUUGGAUAUUUAACCGAUAAGAUUACCGAUUUAAACAUCUUUCCUAAGUUCAUAUAACUUUGUAAGAACUGGCUGCAUUUGCUGUUCCAUCAACAGCUCAUGCUUUAUCACAGAGGUUGAAAGUCUCCUGAAAAAGAUCCCUGGAAGAAUAAGUGCCAGAGUGAUAGAAACUGAAAAUCUCUUUAUAUUAUGGGGUAAACAUGGUAGUGACAGAGAGCAGGAAAGCUCAGGCAGCCAAAACUAGCUUUUGAAGGUAGCCAAAAAAGCAUUUGGGGAGCGUCUAACCUCCAUUUAGUCUUGUCUCAUAGAACAUCUAAGAAAUGAAAGAAAAUUCUUCUGCAGGAAGGAUUAUAGGCCAGACAGGCAGGCAGACCUGUCAUGAGGAGAACUU